UUGAAGAACACUUUCAAGUUCAAGAAAAUGACACACUCUUUGUGGCUGGAAUCAAGAAAAGGGUUUGGGAAGAUCUGUCUAAGCGGUACCAGAAUGAGGACAUCAGGCACUUCCUUGAAGAGGCUACAGUGAUGGAUCCACGCUUCAAAAAUAAGCUCCAUCCAGAUAACAUUUGGGAGAGGGUGAAACUGGCUGCAGUAAUGGCACAAAACAAGAUGUCAGAAGAGCAGGAAAGGGAAAAAGGCCAUGAGCAAGAACAGGACACUUCAA